rnacentral:rRNA from 1 species
AUUGAACGCUGGCGGCAGGCCUAACACAUGCAAGUCGAGCGAAGCCUUCGGGCUUAGCGGCGGACGGGUGAGUAACGCGUGGGAACGUGCCCUUUGGUACGGAAUAGCCCCGGGAAACUGGGAGUAAUACCGUAUGUGGUCGAGAGACGAAAGAUUUAUUGCCAAAGGAUCGGCCCGGGUUGGAUUAGGUAGUUGGUGGGGUAAUGGCCUACCAAGCCGACGAUCCAUAGCUGGUUUGAGAGGAUGAUCAGCCACACUGGGACUGAGACACGGCCCAGACUCCUACGGGAGGCAGCAGUGGGGAAUCUUAGACAAUGGGGGAAACCCUGAUCUAGCCAUGCCGCGUGAUCGAUGAAGGCCUUAGGGUUGUAAAGAUCUUUCAGUGGGGAAGAUAAUGACUGUACCCACAGAAGAAGCCCCGGCUAACUCCGUGCCAGCAGCCGCCGUAAAAC